UGGGGAANUUUCCGCAAUGGGCGAAAGCCUGACGGAGCAAUACCGCGUGAGGGAGGAAUGCCUUUGGGUUGUAAACCUCUUUUCUCAGGGAAGAAGAUCUGACGGUACCUGAGGAAUAAGUAUCGGCUAACUCCGUGCCAGCAGCCGCGGUAAUACGGAGGAUGCAAGCGUUAUCCGGAAUCAUUGGGCGUAAAGCGUCCGCAGGUGGUUUCCAAAGUCUGCUGUUAAAGACUGGAGCUCAACUCCGGAACGGCGGUGGAAACUUGGAAACUAGAGUUCGGUAGGGGUAGCAGGAAUUCCCAGUGUAGCGGUGAAAUGCGUAGAUAUUGGGAAGAACAUCGGUGGCGAAGGCGUGCUACUGGACCGUAACUGACACUCAGGGACGAAAGCUAGGGGAGCGAAAGGGAUUAGAUACCCCUGUAGUCCUAGCUGUAAACGAUGGAAACUAGGUGUGGCA
rnacentral:rRNA from 1 species